UAAAGAAUCAGUUAAAUUAAUUAUUAAGAACAUUAGAUAAGUGUAAUAAAGAGUACGAUAUAAUAAAUAUACCUACAGUUACAUAAAAUAGACAUGGAAAGAUUUCGUUGACGAAGGAACAUAGAUCGGAAGAGGACGCGGAUACCGCGGAAGCAGCAGAAGAGCGACGGCUGUCGGCGAACGCGCGCGGCACGGGCAGCGCUCCGCUCUCAGGCACCUGGCCCUGGCCCGAGCUGGCGCCGCUCGCCUCGCCGCGGAUCGCGUCCUGUAAUACCAAGUAUGCUGUGGCGCUUCGGGCUCGCUAUCGCUCGUGUCCAUCGGCUCCCAAGAACUGGAAAAAAUAAAGAUGAUUUAGAGACUGUUCGUAUUGAAGUAUAGGAGUAAGUGGGUAUGUCUCCAUAUUCCUGUUCUAUAAUAGGGGAGAGCUCAGCUUUGCAGUGUAAAAACAGAAUGAUAACUUGAACUAAACAAAUGUGAAUAUGUAAGUAAGACAUUGUGCGCUCUGCGCAAUUCGACGCUGUAAUUUAACUUCGUUCACACACACCCACAUGGUUCUGCAAUUUGGUUUCGGAUAUCAAUCAAAAUGGUCAGCUGCAGCC